rnacentral:snoRNA from 1 species
UCCCUCUUACGGUUGCACCUGAAGAGUUCCCAGUACUCUACCAGUCUUGGCUACGAGAGGGAGAGUCAAGCAGAGGCAUAGCCAUUCCAUUUCUAGCUUGGUCAGUGGUUAGCAAGUGGAAGGCAAUCUGCUACAAGU